rnacentral:tRNA from 1 species
GGAGAGUUGUCCGAGUGGUUGAAGGUGUGGCUCUCGAAAAGCCAUAGACUUUAAUAGAGUCUCUAGGGUUCGAAUCCCUAACUCUCCGCCA